AUGCUGUCCAGCUCCAAAGCCGGCGGCAAUGGCGACGGGGAGCACCUGGUUUGCGUGACGGGGGCAGGGAGCUUCAUCGGGUCGUGGGUGGUGAAGGAGCUCCUCCUCCGUGGCUACCAUGUCCGGGGAACCGCCAGGGAUCCCGCUCACCGCAAGAAUGCGCAUUUGCUGGCAAUGGAUGGAGCCGGGGAGAGGCUCAACCUGUGCCGCGCCGACGUCAUGGACGGCAACAGCCUCCGCGCCGCGUUCCAUGGCUGCCGCGGCGUGUUCCACGUCGCCUCCCCGGUCUCCAACGACCCUGAGCUCGUGCCUGAGGCCGUGGAGGGGACGAGGAACGUGAUCAACGCGGCGGCUGACGCGGGUGUGGGGCCUGUGGUCUUCACUUCCUCCUACGGCGCCGUGCACAUGGACCCCAACCGAAGCCCGGACACCAUCGUUGACGAGACGUCCUGGAGCGACUACGGCUACUGCAAACAAACCGGCAACCUGCACUGCUGCGCGAAGAUGAUGGCGGAGGUAGCGGCGACGGAGGAGGCGGCUAGGAGAGGGCUGGAGCUGGCGGUGGUGGUGGUGGUGCCGGCGACGACCAUCGGUCCCGCGCUGCAGCAGACGCUCAACUUCAGCAGCGACCACGUCGCCCGCUGCCUGACGGGCGCCAAGCCGGCCUACCAGAACACCGUCACCGCCUACGUCGAUGUCCAGGACGUCGCCCGCGCGCACGCCCUCGUCUACGAGCACCCCGACGCCUGCGGCCAUCGCUACCUCUGCGUCGCCGCCGUGCUGCACCGCGCACACUUCCUCCGGCUCCUCCGAGACCUCUUCCCGCAGUACCCCGUCACCGCCAAGUGCGAGGACGACGGCAAGCCCAGGGUGAGGGAGUACAGGUUCUCGAAUCAGAAGCUCGGAGAUCUGGGCUUGGAGUUCACUGACGUGAGGAGAAGCUUGUACAAGACGGUGAUAUGCCUGCAACACAGGGGGCAUGUCCCCAUCAUCGUGCCACGUCAACGUGCAUCUCUACUUCUAAUGGAGCAGUUGGUAGUCUCGCUUCCAGGUUUUUUUUCGUCCCACCACUUUCGUCCGGUUUUUUUUCGUAGGUUAACCAUCGUAGAUUUUUUUCGAUGCUGGUUUCUUAUUCAUCGGUUUAUUUACCCCUCAGCUCUUUCCUUACAAAUCAGCACUUUCCAAACGUGCACGCAAUCACGGAUCUAA
rnacentral:rRNA from 1 species